rnacentral:sRNA from 1 species
AACACCAAAUCAACCAUAGGUCCAAGAACAAUUGUCUCUGGACGGCAGCUAUGCGACUCACCGUGCUGUGUGCUGUGUGCCUGCUGCCUGGCAGCCUGGCUCUGCCGCUACCUCGGGAGGCGGGAGGCAUGAGUGAGCUACAGUGGGAACAGGCUCAGGACUAUCUCAAGAGAUUUUAUCUCUAUGACUCAGAAACAAAAAAUGCCAACAGUUUAGAAGCCAAACUCAAGGAGAUGCAAAAAUUCUUUGGCCUACCUAUAACUGGAAUGUUAAACUCCCGCGUCGUAGAAAUAAUGCAGAAGCCCAGAUGUGGAGUGCCAGAUGUUGCAGAAUACUCACUAUUUCCACAUAGCCCAAAAUGGACUUCCAAAGUGGUCACCUACAGGAUCGUAUCAUAUACUCGAGACUUACCGCAUAUUACAGUGGAUCGAUUAGUGUCAAAGGCUUUAAACAUGUGGGGCAAAGAGAUCCCCCUGCAUUUCAGGAAAGUUGUACGGGGAACUGCUGACAUCAUGAUUGGCUUUGCGCGAGGAGCUCAUGGGGACUCCUACCCAUUUGAUGGGCCAGGAAACACGCUGGCUCAUGCCUUUGCGCCUGGGACAGGUCUCGGAGGAGAUGCUCACUUCGAUGAGGAUGAACGCUGGACGGAUGGUAGCAGUCUAGGUAUAGCAUCUCAUGUCUCUUCUACUCCACAUCCUUUUUAAAAUCCUGGACUUACACUAAGUUAAAUAAUUAUAUUAAUUUAUAAUAAGUAUUGAGCCCUUGCUAAGUGCCAAACACUGUACUAUAUGCCUGAAAUGCAUUAUUUCAUGUAAUAUACUCAUAAUGCUACACACACAGAAGAUGGACACUCAGGCUAUGGAGUCAAGCACCACUGAUCCAAUUUGCUGUACGUCUACCAAUUACCCUGUGUCAUUGGGCAAGUUAUUGAAUUUCUCUGAGCCUCAGUUUCCUCCUCUGUGGAAUGGAAAUAUAAAUAGUUCCCACAUCAAGGAUUCUUUAAAUUAAAUGAGAUAAUGCUUAUACAGUGCUUGGAAUGUAUUAAUAAUUAAUUAAAUUUUAGCUCUUUCUUCAUAUUUCCAAAAAAUACAUUCCCCAAAUGGAAAAGAAAGAGAAGUAGAAACUAUGAUAUUUGAGAAGUAUAUGCAAUUCUGGAAUUAUUCACUAUUUUCCGGAAAGAACCAACUCCAUGAUUUAGUAUAUCAUAUUUAUCGUUUUACAUAGUAGGAUAUUACAGUAACAGGAGAGAACUAAUGGAGGAAAGCUCUGGCAUAAAUAAUCCCAAUUAGAGACAAUUUUUUUAAGGCUACCAACUGGCCCUAAAA